GCUGGGGAGGGGAAGGGAAGGGAAGGGCAGGGGAGGGGAGGGCGCCGAUCUCGGCUCCCCAAGCCCGGCCCCUCCCCGCCGCCUGACUCACUUCCCUUCUGGGGCAGCCGACUCCGGAGCCCAGCCCAGCCCAGCCCUGCCCUGCCCGGCCCGGCGCGCUCGGACAGCCAGGCAGCAUCAUGGAGGAGUACAGAGGGUUAACGGAUAAUGAGCUGAUCGCCCGCUUGAAGAAAUACGCCAUCCCCCACGGACCUGUUGUUGGAACAACUCGGAAAAUUUAUGAGAAGAAAAUCUACGAAUAUGAGAAGGAGCGGACGAAGAACCCCGGGAGAGCAGAGGCUUACACAGAGCCAAGGAGCACCCACAGCUACACACGAGAGACCUUUGUGAGUCCUCGGAGCAAGGAAGACUUCAACUAUGGGAGAGAAGCUGUUGGCUCCACAAAGUCGUUUCUAAAGGAAAGCUAUGACUCCCCAAGAAAUGUGGAAUAUACUGAACAUGGGAAUGAAGAUCCUAGUCCCAUAAAGUCCUACCUGAGUUAUAACUACAGGUUCCCCCGCCAUGAAGGACGUUCCACAUACAUAACGGAAGAUUGGGAUGCCAACUCUUCGGAGGGCUCCACCUCUUCUUACCGUUAUGAAUCAUCUCUGGGCAGUGGGUCACAUCUAGGGGGAGUGAGCGGUCGUCAGCCAAUUGCAGAGCCGUACCUCUACAGUUCCAGCUUCAAAGAUGUCCCAUCUGAGAGGGACAGCAGUGGCUACCAGACCGUCUUCCAUCGGAAAUCGUCCGGCCCGUCCUCGCUGGGAGUGGAGCCCCGCCGCGCGAUCCGUCCCGAGCUCCAGGCUCCGGCUGCCGAGAGGAAUCGAGGCGGCGAUAAGGGAUCCAAGCGUUACCUCCCGCUCUGGCCCCAGCUCCUGCUGUUUGCGAUGUUGGCCGGCUUUCUGGCCUUCGCCUAUUUCUUCCUGCAAGGCAACGUGGACGAUAACCCCUUUCUGAAGUAUCUUCAGCACUAAAGCCUCGGGCCUCUGGCGCAUCUUCUGUCUGGCUAGAACAGGGUUCCCAGAGGGUACAGGAUGUUUAUAUGGGGCUGUUGCUAAGUGCCUGCUGGUUCAUCUAAUCCCAAAGGUACGCCACCACUGAUUCUAAUCUAAACUGGAGAGGUGUAAAAGGGAUGGGGGGGGGUACCUAUGUAUGCAGGAAGCUGCCUUAUAGUGAAUUAGAGCCACUCUCCAAGUGAAGAUCUCCCAGAUAGCUAAAUCCAGUAGCACCUUAAGGUUCCAUAGCCCCAUAAAGAGACUCACAAGAGUCAAAAGCUCCCUUUCGUGCAUCAAAGCUCCCCAACCAUCGGCUUUGCUUUUUUAAAAGCUUGUACACUUAGCCGUUCCACACCGAGGCUUUCUCCAUCGCGGUUUUGAUAUAUCACAGGUCGGCAUAAGACAUUCAAGGGGGAAUCUUGGGGAAGUUUUGUGGAAACCACAGACAACACGUGAAGCAGACAACACAUAAAAAGAUUAGAAACUCAGAAAUGGAUGCAUAAAAAUAUAUGUGUAGUAUUGCGUAAUGUCCACAUGUUUUCUCUUUUAAUACCACAAGUACACACCAUUUCUUUUUUAAAGUUGAAAGAAAAGAAAAAGAAGAAAUUCAGACUUCUUCUCUGGUUCGAGAGGAGGGCCAAACAAUUUUACCUAAAUUUCCAGAUCGCCUCGGGCGGGGCAGGGGGGUCACACCCCUAACGCCAGCAGUGUGGAAGGGAUAACUGUACUCCAAGAAUCCUGUUGGUCUUUGAGUUGCUACUGGACUAUAACCUUGCUGUUCUACUACAGACCAGCACUGAAAGUAUCUUUGAGGGAGGUCUUCCACAUGACCUGCUGCCUGACGCUUUUAGCUGGAGAUGGCGUGGCUUGAAGCUGGGGUCUUCUGCAUGGGAAGCGGAUGCUCUACCACUGAGCCACGUCCCCUUCCAAAGACGUGAAGCUGCCCUACAUGGAAUCAGACAAUUGGUUCGUCAAAGUCUGCAUCGCCUACUCAGACUGGCAGCUGCUCUCCAGGGACUCAGGUUGGAGGUCUUUCCCAUCACCCACUACCUGGUCCUUCUAACUGGAGAUGCCCGGGAUUGAACCUGGCACCUUCUGCAUACUUAGCAGAGGCUCUACCACUGAGCCACCCACGGGGGUGAAGGGACUCCUGAGCACUUUUCUGAGUCGUGGCAGCUUUACUCCAUUCCUUUGCCCACCAAUCCUUAUGUCAGCUAUGUGGGGGCAUUUCUCCUGCUAAUUUUUAUAGCUUCUGCUUCAUAAUUGGGGUGGUUUUCUCUCAAGUGGGCUGAGGGGAGAGAAGGAACAGAAGGAGAAAACAUGUAACCCAUCAACAGCUUUUUAAAAGAUAUACUGAUGUAUCAAACAUUUAAUAAAUACCACUGAAGAGGGUUUUUUGUAAAAAAAAGAACACGACUCCUGGCUCAUC